rnacentral:tRNA from 1 species
GGUUAUGGCUCAGUGGUAGAGUGCUUGCCUAGUAUAUGUGAGGCACUGGAUUCAAUUCUCAGUAUCA